GAAUGACUCUCGGCAACGGAUAUCUCGGCUCACGCAUCGAUGAAGAACGUAGCAAAAUGCGAUACUUGGUGUGAAUUGCAGAAUCCCGUGAACCAUCGAGUUUUUGAACGCAAGUUGCGCCCGAAGCCAUCCGGUUGAGGGCACGCCUGCCUGGGCGUCACG
rnacentral:rRNA from 2 species